rnacentral:rRNA from 1 species
GAUGAACGCUGGCGGCGUGCCUAAUACAUGCAAGUCGAGCGAACAGAUGAGGAGCUUGCUCCUCUGACGUUAGCGGCGGACGGGUGAGUAACACGUGGAUAACCUACCUAUAAGACUGGGAUAACUUCGGGAAACCGGAGCUAAUACCGGAUAAUAUAUUGAACCGCAUGGUUCAAUAGUGAAAGACGGUUUUGCUGUCACUUAUAGAUUGAUCCGCGCCGCAUUAGCUAGUUGGUAAGGUAACGGCUUACCAAGGCAACGAUGCGUAGCCGACCUGAGAGGGUGAUCGGCCACACUGGAACUGAGACACGGUCCAGACUCCUACGCGAGGCAGCAGUAGGGAAUCUUCCGCAAUGGGGGAAAGCCUGACGGAGCAACGCCGCGUGAGUGAUGAAGGUCUUCGGAUCGUAAAACUCUGUUAUUAGGGAAGAACAAAUGUGUAAGUAACUAUGCACGUCUUGACGGUACCUAAUCAGAAAGCCACGGCUAACUACGUG